rnacentral:rRNA from 1 species
AUGUGGUGGUUUUUUGCAAUUAACUCGGAUUAUUCUCAUUGUCACACUUUUUAUUUUCUCCAGAAAAUGGUUGCUGUCAGCUUGACAUCCAAAAUGCACACGGUGAAGAUUUUGGUUCUCGACUCUAUCGGUCCUAAUCUUGAUUCGGUUGUUGACUUCCUCAAGUGCUUCCCUUGCUUGCAGAAGCUGUAUAUAUUUCCACAUCGAGGAAAUUAUGUUAAUAAUGUGCAGGAGUAUGACCCACUUGAUCCAAUGGAAUGUCUUGAAGUCCAUCUGAGAAAAGUUGUGUUGAGGAAUUACAAUGGUUACACGAGGUAA